ACAAGCGGUGGAGCAUGUGGUUCAAUUCGACGCAACGCGAGGAACCUUACCUAGGCUUGACAUGUAGGGAAUCCUGAUGAAAGUCGGGAGUGCCCGCAAGGGAGCCCUAACACAGGUGCUGCAUGGCUGUCGUCAGCUCGUGUCGUGAGAUGUUGGGUUAAGUCCCGCAACGAGCGCAACCCUCGUCUCUAGUUGCCAGCGAGUAAUGUCGGGCACUCUAGAGAGACUGCCGGUGUUAAACCGGAGGAAGGCGAGGAUGACGUCAAGUCCUCAUGGCCUUUAUGCCUAGGGCGACACACGUGCUACAAUGGGAAGUACAAAGGGUUGCCAACCCGCGAGGGGGAGCUAAUCCCAGAAAACUUCCCCCAGUUCAGAUUGGAGUCUGCAACUCGACUCCAUGAAGCCGGAAUCGCUAGUAAUCGCAGAUCAGAACGCUGCGGUGAAUACGUUCCCGGGC
rnacentral:rRNA from 1 species